UUCUUAUUUAUAACAAUGCACUUAAUUAUAAAUGAAUAUUGCAAUUGGGCUUUAUUUAAUGAAUGAAAUGUGAUGAAUAGGAUUAUUCUUUGGUUAGGCUGCCAAGUGCUAAGAGGUCUCUUUACCCUCAUCUGGGAAUUAUAAGACUGGCUUAGCCACCUACCUCACCGGAUAAAGAACAAAAUUCUCUCACAAUCUUUUCUUCUUUGUGUCGACUAAAGAUCCUAGAUCAUCAUACAACUAUGGCAGUUGUCGGAAACAGUGAAAUAAUGAGCAUUUACACGUACCUUUCCAUCUGGAAAGAGGAGUGGUUUGAAGAACAGAAUCAAGAUCAUCAUUUCUAG
rnacentral:lncRNA from 1 species